GAUGAACGCUGGCGGCGUGCCUAAUACAUGCAAGUCGAGCGAACAGACGAGGAGCUUGCUCCUCUGACGUUAGCGGCGGACGGGUGAGUAACACGUGGAUAACCUACCUAUAAGACUGGGAUAACUUCGGGAAACCGGAGCUAAUACCGGAUAAUAUAUUGAACCGCAUGGUUCAAUAGUGAAAGACGGUUUUGCUGUCACUUAUAGAUGGAUCCGCGCCGCAUUAGCUAGUUGGUAAGGUAACGGCUUACCAAGCCAACGAUGCGUAGCCGACCUGAGAGGGUGAUCGGCCACACUGGAACUGAGACACGGUCCAGACUCCUACGGGAGGCAGCAGUAGGGAAUCUUCCACAAUGGGCGAAAGCCUGACGGAGCAACGCCGCGUGAGUGAUGAAGGUCUUCGGAUCGUAAAGCUCUGUUAUUAGGGAAGAACAUAUGUGUAAGUAACUGUGCACAUCUUGACGGUACCUAAUCAGAAAGCCACGGCUAACUACGUG
rnacentral:rRNA from 1 species